UACGAAGGGGGGCUAGCGUUGCUCGGAAUCACUGGGCGUAAAGGGUGCGUAGGCGGGUUUUAAGUCAGGGGUGAAAUCCUGGAGCUCAACUCCAGAACUGCCUUUGAUACUGAAGAUCUUGAGUCCGGGAGAGGUGAGUGGAACUGCGAGUGUAGAGGUGAAAUUCGUAGAUAUUCGCAAGAACACCAGUGGCGAAGGCGGCUCACUGGCCCGGUACUGACGCUGAGGCACGAAAGCGUGGGGGAGCAAACAGG
rnacentral:rRNA from 1 species